rnacentral:lncRNA from 1 species
UCGGUUUUGGCACUGAAGUACUCCUUCUCGCGUAAGCUCAAAUGCCUUGGUCGCACCACUCUGAACGUUCUCCUUAAGCUGUAAUAAAAUAGGAUCUUCAUAUUGCUUCUCUUUCACUUCAGCUAUUAAUGAAGAUACCGCAACAUUAUGUACGAUAAGCUCUUUAUUCGGAGUUUCAAGAAGGCGAACUCCCAAACUAGCUAACUGGUGAAGAUCUUUAACCAUCCCUUGCCUUUCUAUAGGCGCCAUCAUAGCCUUACGACUUAACGCAUCAGCUACCACAUUUGCUUUCCCUGGAUGGUACAAGAUAUCAACA